CCUCUCUCAGCUCCGCUUAAUCAUACUGUGUGUGUGUGCUUGGCGUGUUUUCAGAGAGAGAGAGAGAGAAAGGCCCUCCUAAUGCACGACAGACUGGCCCAAAGUGGCCUCUCUGUUCCUAGGAGUGCGACAGUU
rnacentral:snoRNA from 1 species